UCCAUCAGCCACGGAUUUGGUGCCAAUUUAGAAGAUUUGCUCUGCAGGACAAGCCUGUUGCCUCACUGUGGUGUGACACUUGCGUCAGGGUGUUCCAGCACUGAGCCCUGGUUGUGCAAACCCACCAGGUUGCCUCAUGCUCACCUGAGGCUGCACUGAAACAACCAUAACACAACGUCACUGCAUGAGGACACCAUGCUGGGCUGUGAUCUCUUGCAACUCCAAAAGAGUUUCAAGGUUUAUAGUGCCCAAGAAUGACAAAUUGGAACGGAGGAAUUGUGUUUUGAAAUGCAGAGACCAUCAGUAGUUCCUGAUCUCCCCUGGCCUGUGACCUGCCAAAAUCUUUCCUCUUUCUGCUAUAGCUGAGCACUGAGUCCUGGCAAACACAGACCUGGUUUUGGCUGAUGUGUCAUCACUCAUGUUGGAGAACUUGAGAUGGACCCUACAAUAGGUGGAUGCAAACCUGGAUGCAAGUCGAGAGAGGAGCUGUUUUCAGCCAGACACCAGCACCUCAGCAGCACUGCCUGACGGUGGAUUCCUUUCAGCACCUUUUCACAAGUUCUCGAAAAGGGGCAGAAGGAACCUGUUGGAUGUUGACACACACCUCCCGGCUCUCCAAUCCCCUCUUGCCUGUCCUGACAAAAUGAUGAUGAUGCUUCCCCCCGGCCUGAUUGCAUCAUGCCUUCCCGCUGCUGCUAUAAAGCCGCAGCAGCUGCUGCCGCACCUCGCAGCCCCGGCAGAGGACACGCUGCCUUUUUCAUGCUAGACAACAAAAGUGUUACGGACCUGAUACACCGAACGCCAUCCCCUUACAAAGCGAGAGCAAAAAAAUGUCCCCAGUGACUUACAGGAUUGUGGUGGCCGUGGCUGCUGCUGCAGAACCGCUCGGUCGGCUGGGACCUCCCGUCACGCACACGCGGCGGCACGGGCUGAGCUGGAAGCGAGCCGCAUUUUGCAAAUCUUUUAUAAUCUGCUGAGUAAGCCCGGCGGGAUGGUGUGUUGUUUGGUUUUGUUGUUUUCCCUUCCCCUGGGUGCACACAUGGAAGCGGAGCAGCCCGGCUGUUGGCUGGCAGCGCGGCUCCCCGGGGGAGGAGCCGCCCGCGCCCCGCGCCUCGGCGGGGGCAGCGCCUGCCCGGGGGGCCCUCAGGAACUCUCGGUGCCCUCAGGAAUUCGGGGGUCCCUCAGGAGCUCACUGGCCCCUCAGGAGCUCGGUGCCCCCUCGGCAGCCUGAGCCACGGGCGUGGAGAACGAGCCAGCGCUGAGGAAAGCUGCCUGGCUCCACAGGGAGCACCAGGGAGGAGCAGGAUCAGCCCGGAGCUGCUCUCGGCGUGGGCUGAGGUGGGGCAGACACACCGAUUCUCUCUGCAUGAGAGGAAAGGGUUUGUGAGUCAGGGUUGUGAUGCUGCGUUUCGGCUGGAGCUGCUGCUCGAUGUGCCAUGUCCACACACCCCAGCGAAUCAAGACUCAGCACAAGCUUUGCAGGCAAAGUGAAAAGUUCUGCUUAAGAGAAGGCCCUGGCUGCUUUUCCCCAAAUGCCAUGUUAAAAGCAAGGGAGAAACUGCAAAGCCUGUCUGUGCUGUGGCUUGGCAUCCUACUGAACAGCUUUCCUCCGACAUGACUGGUGACACUGGUCAGGAAUUGGGAGGCUGCCAACCCAGAACUGUGAAGCUGGUUGCUUUAAGGUCAAGAAAACCUGAUUUAGCUGACUUACCCUAUUUCAUUCACUUGUGACAGGAGUCCCAUGACUGCUGCCCCUCAGGAAGGACUGUUCUGCACCACUGGAUGCACCAGCCACAUUCCUUGCAUCAUCUCUUCUGCCAUUCUGGAACCAUUACCCCUCACAAUGACAUGCAGUAAUUAAAAUGAAGACCCUUGUGUGCCUCUC